rnacentral:rRNA from 1 species
UACGUAGGGGGCUAGCGUUGUCCGGAUUUAUUGGGCGUAAAGAGCGUGUAGGCGGCUAGAUAGGUCCGUUGUGAAAACUCGAGGCUCAACCUCGAGACGUCGGUUGAAACCGUAUGGCUAGAGUCCGGAAGAGGAGAGUGGAAUUCCCGGUGUAGCGGUGAAAUGCGCAGAUAUCGGGAAGAACACCCGUGGCGAAGGCGGCUCUCUGGGACGGUACUGACGCUGAGACGCGAAAGCGUGGGGAGCGAACAGG